CCUACGGGGGGCUGCAGUGAGGAAUAUUGGUCAAUAGACGAGAGUCUGAACCAGCCAAGUAGCGUGAAGGAUGACUGCCCUAUGGGUUGUAAACUUCUUUUAUAUGGGAAUAAAACAGGGUAUGCAUACCCUCUUGUAUGUACCAUAUGAAUAAGGAUCGGCUAACUCCGUGCCAGCAGCCGCGGUAAUACGGAGGAUCCGAGCGUUAUCCGGAUUUAUUGGGUUUAAAGGGAGCGUAGGUGGAUUGUUAAGUCAGUUGUGAAAGUUUGCGGCUCAACCGUAAAAUUGCAGUUGAAACUGGCAGUCGUGAGUACAGUAGAGGUGGGCGGAAUUCGUGGUGUAGCGGUGAAAUGCUUAGAUAUCACGAAGAAAUCCGAUUGCGAAGGCAGAUCACUGGACUGCAACUGACACUGAUGCUCGAAAGUGUGGGUAUCAAACAGGAUUAGAUACCCCAGUAGUC
rnacentral:rRNA from 1 species